CCCGGCCCCGCGGCCCCGGCUGCUCCGCCGCCGCCGAGGGCUGCCCCGAGCCCGCCCUGCUCCGCGCCGCCGACAGAGCUGCUCAGUUCGCGGGAGACGACUUCGCCUACGCCGGGCCCGAGCUGGGCGGCGGCGCCCUGGGGGUGCAGCUCACCUGCGACGUGAAGCCAGGAGAAAAUGAAGUUCCAUCUGAAGAUGCCCUAAUACUACAGCUUCACCUUGCAAAAGGUCAUGAGAAAUUUACUGAAAUGCUAAAAAACCAGCAGCAGAUCAUUGUAGAUUUACAGCAGAAACUUGCUGAACAGCAACAUGUAUUGGUUAGCCAGCAACGGGAGAUUCUUGAACAGCAAAGAAAAAUGUAUGAGCAAAUGGAUCUGAUCAAAGUGCAGUAUGGCAUGCUUUUUGACACAGUGAAACAAAUGUCAUUUCAGAGUUUGCAAGAAGAUAUUCAAAAUUAUUUUGAAAGUCAUCUUCAAGGACUUCAGAACCAGGUCAGGAAUCAUCUCCAGAAGUCAUACUCUGUGCAUAAAGUAGAAGUGGAUGCAAAAGUGAUUAGUGUUGGGGAGUCUUUGCUGGACUGUGGUCUUUGUGAAAGUGAUGAAUUUUGCAAUUUCCAAAAGACACCUUCACAAUGUGAAAAAUGCACAUUGUGUCCUGCUGGUUUUUUCCAAAUGGCUGAUUGCUCUGCAAACUCUGAUCGGAUUUGCCAGGACAGAGAUGAAUGCACUGAAUCUCCAAGCAUUUGUGGCGAGAGAAUAAAAUGCCUGAAUACUCCGGGUGGCUUUCGAUGCCUUGGAAUUGCUGAGAAAGAUGCAGCUUUGGGAUUGUGUGGAGAGGAGUAUUUCUUUAAUAAGGAAAUGCAAGAAUGCCAAGCAUGUUUGAAAUGUGAAGAUGGCAUGGUGGCCAUGCCUUGUUCCACUGUCAGUGACACGGUUUGUUCAGCAACCAGUGAAAGCAAGCUAUCAGAAUCUUGGGCUGCAAACAUCAUUUUACCAUCUGUGAAGUCUGGCAUCUCUCAGGUUUACUCUGGCUUGAACUUGAAGAUAAGGGAAAAGCUUCAGUGUGACAUCCUGUCUAUCGAAGAUCACAGCCUGAUAUUCAGGCAGCAUGGUCUGUUGUGGAUUGACCUAAAUUUUGUAGUAAAACACAACUGCAGGAAUUUUUUGCAACUUUCCUUAAAGCUAAAUGGCAGUGAGGAAGGCUAUGAACUUAGUGGUGUUCGCAUUGAACAGCCAGAAGGAAAAUAUUUCCAGAGCACCAGUUUAAGCAGCGCUGCUGAGGUGGAGCCCAGCCAAACUCUUUCCGUGUUUUUGAGGAGCCCAAACCAAUUCUGCAAUCAAAGUAAAGACUUACAUAUUUACGAUCUUAGUAGCCCACUAAGUCUGUUCUGGUUGUCUCAUGACACGGGUGCUGUGGCAAUCAGUGCACACAUGUCAACAGCAAUGCAUUACCAAACCAACUAUCGACCUACAUUUAAAAUAAUUUCUGUUUCCGACCCUUACAUGCUAAGUUUAUCUCAUGAUGGCAGAGCUAUAAAAUUCACUGAAACAGGUGUUGUCAAAUUUGUGUUGCACCAAGCAUUGUAUUCUAUGGGUCACACUUGUGUCCGGGAGGGUUUCUCCUUAAUUUCUUAUAUAAAUAGGAAUGGUACCAACAGAGAAUUAAUGAAUGUAUUUAAAUCUGGGGUAAAUUACAGAGAUACAUCAAUAUCUGCUUCUGGGGCCACAAAAGUUGCUGCUGGAGAUCUGAUUAGCUUUGAGAUACUCUCUCCCGCACAGUGUAAUGUUCGGUAUUUUGGAGAUAGUUCUGGGAUUAGUAUGUUUAGCCUUAUCUGGAUACCUUCAGCAGUUUCUAGUGCCAUAUCAGCUACAGUUUCUGUUACAGGCCUGCCUACUGGUGCUGUGAGAAACAAAUUACUGGAUUUCACCCAGAUCUCAUCCAAUGAGAAACAGAUACAGCUGGUUUCUUCUGGACAGCUUGCUCAGAAGUACUUCAUUUUUACAGAAAAGGGAGUUGCCAGUCUUGCAUUUAACUUAAAGCUAAUCCAUUCGUGCAGUGUGCUUAAAGUGACUCUCCAACAGUUGACCAUGGAUCACAUGCAACCCACCAUAAUUGCUCAGCAGAUUGGAGGGCAGAUGCCAGAGGGAAGCAUAUGGACCAGUGUGACCCUCCGUGCAUCUUUUGAAGUACACAAUGGAACGCUGAUAUCAGUUUCUCUUGACUGCGUACGUGGAAGGAUCAAUCAGAUCACUCAUGAACAUGGAACCAGUAUAUCUAUUUUAUGGAUUUCAUCUUAAUUGCUGUAUAGUGAAGAGAGCACAGAAUUGGGGUUUAAAUUGGAUUUGGAUUCUACUCUGAUUCUUUGUCUGUAUUUGACAUCUUACAGUGUGUCAACAUAAAUAUACUGUCCCAGUGAAGUGCUCUCAAAUUUAGGAAUAUUUAAAUAUAAUCUUAAUUAAGUGAUCAGUAUUUAAAGAAAAGAGAGCUUUCAGAGUUCCCUGAUAGUACUUCUGUUAACAUCUUCAGACAAGGGAUCUAUGGAUUCAACUCAGAACUAUUUUUUACAGUGCAGUCUCUUAAAAUCAAUUAUUUCUGGGUUAAAGAAAAUUGUGGUGAGAGUAAAUAUGUAUCUUUUGGUACUGGAACUGAAAGCAGCACAGUCAAGUAGUGGAAGUCUGCUUUCACUUUCUUCUGCCAACAAGACUAUAUGUACUCAGAGGCAAAUUUGUUUACAUCUUAUAAAAUGUUUUGCUUAAUCUUUAAGUGCUUUAAGUGUGCCUCAAAGUAGAAAUGGUAAUAUGGUAACACUGAAUUAUACUUGCACAAUUUCGUAAAAAUGGACCUGGGUCAAAAAUAGAACAUUGUUUUUACAAAACAUAAUCACUGUUCUCAUCAUGAAUGUUGUAACUAAUGAUCUUUCUAAUUUAAUUUUGAAAUAAUCUGCUUUUAAGUAAUUUGGGAAGACUUGUUCCCACUUCAAGUUGUAGCCAGUGAAAGGUUGCAUGAUGAGAAGUAUUAGAAACAUGCCUUGAAAGUCAGGCUUUAAAGGGAAACAGACUUUUAUUCAGUUUCUUACCAAUCAUGAAUUCUUUUCCUGACCGAAAAGGGACACCAUUCACAAGCAUACUUAUUUUGCUGAACUGGUCCUUAAUUUUAGGAGUUCUGUUUUUUUAAAUCACUCAAUUCUAAAAUGAAAUUAUGUAUUCAGUGACACUGAUUAUUGUCUUCUUCCAACUCUUCUGUCAGACUGCUCUUUCUGAUCUGUGUUUCUCUCCUUUCUUCUCCCGAAGUAUCACUACUGCUUCACUCUGUUCUUAUUUUGUUAGGAACAAACAGCAUGCUCUGUCACGUAGCUCAACUCUUUCCAGCCAUCCUUCACCAGCCCUACUAAAGAACAGGUGUGUAUGUAUGUCACAUAUAUAAGAGGAACAUUAAUAAGACAGCUGCAGGCUGCCUACCAUCUACCUAUUUGAAAGUGAGACUACUAUGUAUUAUAUGACUUUACUGUGGGUGUCUGCCUGAGCACAUGUAUCUAAAAUGCAUGCACUUUCCUGUGCUCUUCACCUGUUCUGAAGUUUGUUAAGAUUUUUUUUUUUUUUUUGUAAAAGCAGGAACCCAAAUGCAAGAGUUCCAUCUGGUUUUCCAUUUUCUGGUUUUCCAAUGGUGUUUCCAUUUUUACUUGUAAUUUUCUAAUCUUGUCAUUAUCUUGUCAUUUACCUUUUCCUCAUACUUUUUUCUUCAGGUUUGAGCUCAGAGAUAUGCAGGCUGUGGACAGAUUGUUCUCCUGCACCAAACAGAAUGCUGGUAUUUCUUGUUUCAGCUCUUAAGUCUGAGCAACCCAUUGCAGUAUACCUCACUGGAUGCUGUGUGGAGGCCAACACAACCACAAUAAGUUCAGCCCUGGUGUUAUAUCUUCUCUAAACAAACUCACCUUUACAAAGAGGUGAUUUUGUGAGGAGGGUGUCAAAGGCCUUCUUCCUCUCAGAAGCAGAUAGCUCACUGCUGUAUCAGGACAUCUGUACUGCAAGAGAAGCUCUGCAGAGAUCAGACCUGGGAAUUUCUGCAGUGAAACUGCAGGGAAGACAAUAUUGGAGAAGGCUUGAAAUAAGAUGCUUAUGUUUUUAUUUGACAGAAAGUCAGGAAAAUAAUCUUCUCAUGGACAUAGCCCCUUACUUUUCUUGUCUGCUUUACCAUAUACAGUUGUUUUAGAGGCUGUCACCCCCAUUAAAAUAAUAGCUUAAGAGUCAUUCUGAAUUUAAACCUGUGUAGCAGAUAAUCAGAAUCUAAUUUAGGAUGUAAUCUAAUACAUCUUCAGCAAAGUGCAGAUGUUACUUGAAUAUAAUAAGCAUCUGCCUUUACGUAGCAUAUAGCACAUCUAACAGCACGAUUUGUAUGUGUAUAUUUUACUUGAGUUUGUAAUACCAGUGGAAUUGCUUGAAUAUGGAGAAGACUAAUGCUUAAAUCCUGUAUUGUGCACAUGGUGAUGGCACUUCCAUUUAAAUGUGCCAUUAUUAAGGGAUGCAGAAACUACCAGGGAGCUACAAGUGAGCAUUAUUACAGCUAAGGGAGAUUUCAGAGUGUGAAAUCGUAAAUACAGUCUGUCUUUUCUGAAGAUUCUUGUGGGAGUGCCCAUAAUUGCCCUCAAAUUAAGAGUAGAUUUUUACAUGCAUGGGGCAGAAAUGUGGUAUUUUGCAGCCAUCUGGCUAAUGGUAAUGCAUUUCAUAUAGUUCUGCUAUUGUCAUCUGUGAUAAAGUAUUCACAUGAUGAAAAAAAAAAUUCUUCUAAAUACAAACAGUUAACUGCAACUUGCAGCAAGCUUAGCCUUAUUUCAGUCAGGAAAGACUCAUUGUUUGAGCCUGCUUUCAUUGCUAUCUUUAAAAAAAAACCAGCCUAAAUUAAGAGCUCAGUCCACUUAGUUACAGUAACAUGAGUUUGGAGUAAGUGUGUUGGAGUCAGGGUGGAUUUACGGUAGUUUAACUAACAGCAUAGUAUAUAGCGUUUGCCUCUAUGAAAAUGAUAUAUAUUACCUCAUUCCAUGCAACAUUAAGUGGUGCACUGUGGUCCUAUAUAAGAUAAAGUUCAAAAGCAAUCAGACAGUGUACGAUGAAUGCUAAUUUUAUGGCACUUAUCCCAUUUGCUGUAAUUAAUUGCAUGCUUUAUUCUUGACAGAUAUACCUUAUCAAUUAUAUUUACAACUUAGGAACUUUUUAUUUCAAGUUUUCAUAUGGUUUCUUUCUUUUAGUAGCAUAAUAUAAUGCUGUGAAGUACAGAAUUCAUUAGUUUUUUUUUUCUUUUGCAUCUUUUGAUACCACAUUCAUGAAUACUCUUAAAUCAAUCUUGGGAGACUGUCUCCAACCCUCGCUUCUAACGGGUGUUUCUAAUGGGGGUGCUCAUAAGGUCUUGUAGAGUAAGUGCAAGUAAAGAGGCUAGUAAAGUCUGUACAGAAAGAGUUGAAGUUAAUACAUCUGUGUAGGUCACUUCAAAAUUAAUACCUUUCUGUGACAAUGCAGAAAAUAAUGGAAUGUUGGUGGGGAGGUUCAGGCUUUACUGCCAUACCACCAUCUGCCUCUGAGAGUGUGGGUCAAUAUAAUAAGAUAGGAAGCAUUACUUUCAAAACAGCCUUCAUAGAAAGGUGGAUGUUUCACAUAUGCAAAUAAUGGGAAGUAUUAUGGAAAAUGUGGCUAUUGCAGGAGGAACAUAAUAUAGGUUGUGUAGUACUGCUUACGUAAGAGGAAAAAGGAUCUUCCUUACAAAAGCCUGCAUCACUUAAAUGAAGCAUUUUGCAAUUUGAGAGAGCUUACCUGAAUAUAUUUUGUUACCUAUACACUUUUGUGCUUUCUGAAGUCAAAAUUGGGUAGAAUGCAUUGUCUAUUUUAAUUUAAUAUUUUGGAUUAUUUCCUUUGUUCUGUGCAGAUUGCAGUACACUGUGAAAAUGACACUAGUUUCAAGUGAUGCUUUUUAAUAAGAUUUCCUACUUUGAAAUAUUACCUUGUGUUAAAAAUACUGUUUAUACACAUCUGUUAAUAUUAUUUUGUAAUAUGUUUUAAGAGAACUUUGCUGAAAUAAAUACAACAAAAAGGCUUCA
ensembl:lncRNA